AUGGCCGAGGCCGCCUUUCAUCAUUUCUCUUCGCUCUUCGGUUCCUCCUCGCCACGCGAAUUCUCCCUUGAUCUUGAUCAGAUCGACGACCGUUCGUUCGACCUCACUGAUCUCAAGCUUCCUUUCUCUGAGGAAGAGAUCCUUCGAGCUGCUCGCGCGCUUCCCCGCGGCAAGGCCCCAGGCCCUGACGGCUUCACCUCUGAAUUUCUCGUGGCUUGCUGGGACAUCGUCAAGGCCGUCAUCUGCGCUGUCUUUGACAAGUUCUAUUCCAUGAACGGGCAUAGCUUGCAGCGCCUCAACGAAGCCCUAAUCACCCUCUUGCCCAAGAAGCAAGACGCCACCGCCCUCUCCGAGUACCGCCCCAUCAGUCUGCUCCACCUUGUGGCCAAGGUCCUCUCCCUCCGGCUCGCCCCUCGGCUGGGACAGCUCGUGGCCACGAACCAAAGCGCUUUCAUCGCUGGGCGCUGCGUGCACGGCAACUUCAUGUUGGUC
rnacentral:rRNA from 1 species